rnacentral:rRNA from 1 species
GAUGAACGCUGGCGGCGUGCCUAAUACAUGCAAGUCGAGCGAACAGACGAGGAGCUUGCUCCUCUGACGUUAGCGGCGGACGGGUGAGUAACACGUGGAUAACCUACCUAUAAGACUGGGAUAACUUCGGGAAACCGGAGCUAAUACCGGAUAAUAUAUUGAACCGCAUGGUUCAAUAGUGAAAGACGGUUUUGCUGUCACUUAUAGAUGGAUCCGCGCCGCAUUAGCUAGUUGGUAAGGUAACGGCUUACCAAGGCAACGAUGCGUAGCCGACCUGAGAGGGUGAUCGGCCACACUGGAACUGAGACACGGUCCAGACUCCUACGGGAGGCAGCAGUAGGGAAUCUUCCGCAAUGGGGGAAAGCCUGACGGAGCAACGCCGCGUGAGUGAUGAAGGUCGUCGGAUCGUAAAACUCUGUUAUUAGGGAAGAACAAAUGUGUAAGUAACUAUGCACGUAGUGACGGUACCUAAGCAGAAAGCCACGGCUAACUACGUG